CAGUAGCCGCGGGAAUACGUAGGGUGCAAGCGUUAAUCGGAAUUACUGGGCGUAAAGCGUGCGCAGGCGGUUUUGUAAGUCUGUCGUGAAAUCCCCGGGCUCAACCUGGGAAUGGCGAUGGAGACUGCAAGGCUAGAAUCUGGCAGAGGGGGGUAGAAUUCCACGUGUAGCAGUGAAAUGCGUAGAUAUGUGGAGGAACACCGAUGGCGAAGGCAGCCCCCUGGGCUAAGAUUGACGCUCAUGCACGAAAGCGUGGGGAGCAAACAGGAUUAGAUACCCGGGUAGUCCCUGUCUCUUAUAC
rnacentral:rRNA from 1 species